CUUUCAGGUUAAAACUGGAAAGAAGUUACUUGUUCCGUGCUCUCAGGGCCUAACGACGGUUCUCAACAUGUUUUUCCGAGCGUAAUGACCUUCAGAUUAGCUACAUUAUUUGUACUUGGGCUGUGAACUGAUGGAGAUGUCCAGAUUUGCUCUGAACACUUAUAAAAAUCGUUACUAUUUGGAGUUGUAAACAGUUCAGAAUUUUUGUUCGGAAGACUUAUCUCCUCCGUCGCCUACCUUCCAGUACUGGAUACCAAAAGAAGCAUAACGAGUCUAGCUGCUAUAAAGGCAAAGAGCCUCUUCUCUUCUUUUCACCAUCCAGUAUCUCCUGCAAAGGACACAAUUCAUGCAUUAUUUAUUCUAAGGCACGGUAUGUAAAUCUGUAAUUGCUCCUGGAAAUAUUGCUUAGGCAGUAAAGACCCAGAUAAUACUGCAGUAUCACAGUAUCAUGAAUUCCAUCUACCAAGUUUUUAAUGCAUAGAAGUAUAAUCAUCAGCAAUACUGGUCGAAAUCCAUUUCGCAGAUUAAGCUUCCCAAAUUAUUUAAUUUUCAUUACUAAUUACCAUUCAGACUACUAAUUACAUUCUAGAGUUCCUCACUCUUAUUCUGUCUAAAUUAAAUGUCGACUAACCUUGUAAACUGUAAAGAAAUUAAUCCCUCAUUUCAGAUAGCAGUAAUCUUAAAUUCAAAAAAGGUUAAUUACCCUUUAUUCCAUAAUAAAUAUUUCCUUUAUUCCAAAAUAAGAGGAACAGUCGUCCCCUUUCUUCGGGCUUACAACAAAGCCUAUACUUGGACUUGAAAAUAAGAAAUAAAAACUAACAUUAACUAAAUAAGAUUUAGUCGAAGCUAAGACAAAUAUAACGGAGUUGGCCCUUAAUCUAAACUAGUCAGCGGACUAUCAAAAGGCACAUAAUAAUGAGUCCAAGCGUCACAGCAGUUAGGGAGACUUAGACCAAAGGCAAACGCUCUCUACUCAGGAUUCCUAGCUCUCUCUUUUGAAGCAAGUUGGAUUUUCUUUUAAUAUUAUUUCUUACUCAUUUGCAUUCAAAGGGAUUCUAAAAAAAUCAUUCUCGUAGGCAGUCGUAAGUUUAAACGAGGCAAAAAAAGGAAAGGUUAACUAAACUAAAAUAACUCUCAUAAAAUUAAUUAAAAUAUACUUUACAACAUGUAACUCUAUAUGUUUUUCACCCUUUUAAACAUGCGAAAAAAUACAUUCUUGCAAUUAAAUUAAGUUUCUGACGCACUAUUAAAAUGGUUUUUAACUUUUCAGCGUUAAAGUUUAGAAGUAUUAUCAGUUUGCAAUAGGCAUAAAAUAAGAUAAUAAAAUAAAUGCCUUUAAAAUAGCAAUGAGAGCCAUAAGGAUAUAAUUUCGAAGGAAUUAAUUCUUCCCUGCUACUUGAAUUUGGACAGUUAAUUUAGGCAAUAGUAAUAAAAUUAAAAUUGUAUGCACGUAUAAAAUAAUAGCUAAUUGUAAAUAUAGUAUAGUGGGUUAUGUUUUUUAAAUUCUCCAACUAGUAAAUACCAGAAAUAAAAAAUGAUAAAAAAUUUUUAAUUAUUUUGUGCUUAUGAAAACAAAAAUGUGUCAACUUUCCCAUGAAACGCAAAUUCCAUAAAACAAAAUGAUUUCUAAACAGAAAUAUGAAUUUCAUUAGAAAUUUAGACAAUUAAAUUCUAAGAAGUCAAUUUCAGUUAGGCAAUAUCUUAUUCCCCCUGCAUUUAAAUACUUACCCAGAAAAAUCUUACUCAUAUAAUAAAGAAUUAGAUAAAAAUUAUGAAAGUCAUUAAGCAAAAAAUACAAAAUAAAUUGAACUAACAAUAAGCAUAAUUUUUAAAUUACAUCUUAGAAUUUUAAAGCAGAUUGCUGUGGGAGAUAUAUAAUUAAAAAAAAACCUUCUUCAUUAUCUUUUUGGGAGAUACAUACAAAUGCACACUACCGUUUUGAGGAACAUUUACGAAACAAAUAAUUUUUUUCUUGUUAUAAUAAAAAAAAUUACAUACGGUAAUGAAUAUAUUCGUAAAUUUUACUUACAUUACCAUACGCAUUUUUCCCCGCCUUUCAUUUAAACUUAUUUCCUCGAAUUUCAUUAGAGAUCUAUUUCCUAUUCGAUUAAUUCAAUUUUCAGUUAGCGACAAGGCAAAAAUACAUAAAACUCAAAAUAUCUAUAUUACGAAUUGAAACAUAUAAAGAAAAACAUAAAACACCAAAUACAGUUAAAACAAUUAUUUUUUUUACAAUUAAAAUUACAGUU